CCAAAGGUUCCGAAAAUGAAACACUAAGUAUAUUAGGAUGGAUGAUUAGAGGAUAUAUAUAUAUAGGUCGUGUUUCUUUCACAAAAAGUAAUAUUUCAUCCCAAGGUUCUUUCUGAAAGUAUAUUAAUUUAAAGCAUAUUUGCAUCUAUUCAAUGUCUGAACCUAGAUUCCGGUUAAUUACAUUUUUCAAACCUCUGCUUGUCUUCACCCCCGUCAAAAGUCCGAUGUUUCUAAGAAUUGGCUAAAGUGCUUGAAGAUAUGUAGGAAAUCUGGAAAAUUUGAAUGCGUCACACUGCAAGACUGAAUCGAAGGUAGUUCAAAACAGAAGAAGAAAACUGGCUGAAGUUCUUUGGGAGCCCUGUGGUCGGCGCAAGUGGUACCUGAAAUGGUCUUCGAAGAAGCAAAAGAUGAUAGCCAUUCAGGAACAGCAAAUGGUGUCAACCAUGCAACAUCUUCAGCUGUUCCUGUAUUAGCUUUUGAAACCAAGAGAGAAGUUCUCAAUGAAGACUUAUCGGAC